UUGCGAUGCGUAGCUGAGGCAGUUGAUAGCUUGCGGCGGCCGGCCUACAGUAAGGGCCCCGGUCUCCUCGCCCUUGCCCCAGCUGCUGUUCGGUGCCACCUACCGCCUGCUGCUGGGGCUGAGCCGCAGCGAGGUGGAAGACUGGCGGCUGCCGUACGAGCACGUGGUGGAGCUGGGCAUGGUGCUUAGGAUUGGGUUGGGAACCCUGGAUAGGAGCAGGAGCACGGGACAGGGUUGAUGGGGGCAGGCACGAGCGAGAAGGAGACUAGGUGACUGUUAAGAGGAGCUGACGUGAGCGCACCGUAUGAGCUCUGCAGCAGGGGCGGCUACCACGUAGGGAUCGAGAGUACGGUAGUGUUUUGAACUAAAAAUGGGUAGCGCAUUGUGAACAGGGGAAGUCAAGUUGUCCAUUCUCCACAUGCGAUGCCAGACGUCGGUGUACUGUGCAGGAGGGCGCACGAGGAUUUUUUUUGGGGGGGGGCAUUUUCAAGCAGCACGCACUGUGCCGCACAAUGCCGCCGCUGCAUAGACUGUGCACAUGCUGCAUGUGCGUGUGAAAGCCUGUCAACCCCACUUAAGGCCUGUCCCAUGUGCCAACUAGAAACCCAAGCCCGGUGCUGCAAUGAGAUGUGGUGUUGACAAACACCGAGUUUGUUGAUUGAGUGCAAGUGGGAAUGAAAUUGCUUAGGCGGUCUCCUCGCCCUUGUCGCCCUUGGUCUUCUUGGGCAGCAGCACGGCGUGGAUGUUGGGCAGCACAUCGCCCGAGGCGAUGAUGCUGGCGCUUACGGCGUCACAGGGUGUGGCGGACUGGCGGCAAAGCAGGCGGCGACAGCAAGGCGGAGGCGGAGGCGGAGGCGGAUCGCCAGCAGGCCGCAGCGGCAGCAGUCGGACCUCGAGGAUGACUGAGCAGUGCGCUUCUGUGCGCGGCAAGCUACGUGAGCAUAUUGUUGUUACCCGGCUUUGAACGUUACGCCAGUGGUUAUUAUAGUUGUGAGAGGGCCGGCGAGCAAAACGUGUGUCGACGCGCGCGCGCCUGGCGCGUUGAAUUAAAUGCGUUGUUUGCCUUGAUUGCGUGGAGCUGGUGGCUUCAGCUCGUCCCGCCUCGGACCGCCCCAGGGCGAACGCGCACAUGGAGGAACGUGUACCCGUACGGGCCUUCUGCGAACCGAAAGAGGCGCGAGCUGCGGCAGUGGGCCAUAUCAGAACUCAGAGUUCUUUCACGCGUUGCGCCUGCCAAACCUCAAGAUGAAACCCGCCACUUCGGCGCCUGCUGAAGAGCGUGACGAGGAGGGCUUGGGCGGCAUCACCUUCACCAAAAAGGUUCGUCGGCAGGCGCUUAAGCAUAUGAGUAUGCAAACAGGUCUGCAUUGCUGCUCACGGCCUGUGCUCACGGUCGUCUGCUCGCUGCAGAAAGAAACCAUCGCUGUGACUGCCGCACUGGCCUGGGGCUCGCUGGGCUGCAUUUAUGGCGAUAUCGGCACCAGCCCCCUGUACGUGUACAGCACGAUAUUUGCCACUUCGGAGCCAAGCCAGGUGAGCCAGUCUGCCCUGCCCGAUGCGCACUUUGCAGCGCAUUCCCACCGCCUGACCUCGAUCGCAUGUAGCGCGAAGCCGCGAUCGCUCGUUAUCCACUGAUAACACAGCGCGCCGCGGGUCUAGGAAGCAUCCGAAAGUUCCGGAUGCGAACAAUUCCGUUAGGCUCGGCUCGUGCGGAACCCGCCGGGGGGGUGCACCAGGUUGAUAUGGCACCAGGUUGAUAUGGCACUGAGAGAUACCCGCAUGCACACAGGCCGACAUCCUGGGCGCAAUUAGCCUCAUCUUCUGGACGUUGACGCUGAUCGUGCUGGUCAAGUAUGUGGGCGUGGUGCUCCUGGCCGACGAUGAAGGAGAGGGUGAGCAGGGAGGGUGCCUAUGAGGGUGAGCUCGGCAUCGCAACGUGCUCCUACUCCUUUCCCUACGACCAUGUAGCCUGCGAGUGGCAGUCACACGUCAUGUACAGCAACUGGUCUGUGCUUCUCUUUUACUUGAUUGAGGUAGUACCGCCCGCACCCUUCCCUCCUGCCUCUUUCGUGAUCCUCACUCGCACCUUAGGUGGGACGUUCUCGCUGUACUCGCUGCUCUGCCGCAAGAUUGGCAUCCGCCCCCACGACGUCAUGUUUCGGGGCGAGAGCCGCAUGAUGCGACACCUCGGGUCCUCCAGCACCGGCGGCAGCCAACUCCGCCGCACAAGCGGCAGCGGGACUCGCGGCGCCGGCCUCCGAGCCAGCGGUGACGGCACGCUGCGCCGCCUCAGCACCACGCCCCAAGACACCGCUCGGGGCCCCGACACUACUCUCACCCUUGCCACAUCAGCAUCCCGGGUCGCCGGCACAGUGGCGCCGCACCCGCACCCGCAGCAGCCGCGCCGUGUGUGGUGGCGCCGCUGGGCAGCCAGCGGCACUGCAGUGCGGGCGGCACUGCGGCGCAACCGGGCGGCGCAGCUGGGUCUGUGGGGCAUGACUAUGGCUGCCACUGGCAUGGUGCUGGGAGACGGCGUGCUCACACCCGCCAUCUCAGGUGGGUGCGGGCACACGCGCGGCACGCGGACAGCAGGUUUCUGGUGGGCGUGCUGCCAUCUGAUGUUGGCUCACUCAUGUCCGGGGCGGGGCCGCAUGCACACAUCCGUGCACUGCUGCCAAAUUACGUGUACCUGUCAUGUGGCGGUCACCGCUCCUGCGCCUUUCCUUACGCACUCGCUGUGCGCGCGCGCAUGCAGUCAUGUCAGCUGUGUCUGGUCUCAAGGAGGCGACUGACGCGGUCACUCAGCAGACGGUGGUGGGCGUGAGCAUUGCGGUGCUGGUGCUGCUGUUCAGUGUACAGAGAUGCGGCACCUCCAAGGUGGGUCGGUGGGUGGGUGGGUGGGAGAAUGGGCAAGAGCGCAUCCACAUCCGUGCGUUCAACCGCGCGCAACUCAAAAGUAUGCACACGCGCGCCUUACCUAUCUAAGCUGGGCACUCACACACACGUGCGCAUGCAUAUGCACGCAUACACACACCUACACAUGUAUGCGUGUGCAGGUUUCCUCCACGUUUGCGCCCAUCGUGGCGUUGUGGCUGUGUUCCAAUGCGGGAGUGGCCGCAUACAACCUGGCCCUGCACGGCGGCGGCGCGCUGGCGGGUGCGUGCGUGGACUCGUGCAGCAGCAGCCCCGCUCAGCAGCUUCCUCCCAGGGGCCUGCUGUCUGCCCCACAAUUACUGGACUCACGCUGCGGCAGCGUGCCAAGUGCGGCCAUUAAUCGAACGCGUGUCACUUCUAAUGACUUCCCGCAACCUCUGUCCCCAUACCAACCCCCCUCGUCCGCCACCGCCGCUCCACCACCCGCCCAGGCCUGAGCCCGCACCACAUCCCGCUGUUCUUCGCGCGCCGCGGUGUGGAGGCGUGGCGCAUGCUGGGCUCCGUCAUGCUGUGCGUGACGGGCGCCGAGGCGCUGUACGCGGACCUGGGGCACUUCACACACCGCUCCGUGCUGGUGGGUGCGGCGGGGUGCACGCGUGGCUGGGGGGAGGGCAAGGCGUCUGCCGGCAGGACUACUUGGGAGCCCAGUACGCACGUACCCUUUUGCAUGCAUCAUGCACACCUCACCACUCAGAUGCGCACACGCACACACACACACACACCUGCACCAUCCUUGACCACCUCCACCUCUCACGUUCUCCUAACCCCACCCCGCCCCGGGCCCCGCCGCUGCAGGCCGGCUUCUGCCUGUUCGUGUACCCGUGCCUGGUGCUGACGUAUGUGGGUCAGGGCGCCUACCUCAUGUCGCGGCCGGAGGACGUGACAGACACGUUUUGGAAGUGUGUGCCCAGGUGAGCGCGAGCGAGACGCGCUAGCACCACAGCUGCUGCCUGACCCCUUGCACCAGCAGGCUAGUUGAGGCGUUUUAAUACAGAAAGCCCUCUCGCUGCUGGAAGUGCCCCCGCGGCCACCGACGUUGUGCCUGUGUGCGAUUAUACUUGUUUUGUGCGGCGGCCGUUCUGUUGCUUGCAGGCCUUUCUUCUACCCUAUGCUGGUUCUAGCCACCCUGGCCUCCGUGGUAGCCAGCCAGGCGCUUAUCACCGGCUGCUUCUCAAUCAUUUCAAACGUAUGUGACGACAAGUCGACAAGCAAGCGGCGUGCACUUGUCAAUCAACACGGACACACGAGAAUAAACCCCCACAAUAAGAGCAGUGGCCGCGUCGCACUUCACACACGCAUUUUACACCCAAAUGCCGCGCCGGCCUCCCCCUCGAGUGCCACAGCCUUGACCUGUUCGCUACGCUGUGGCGCCCCCAGCCGCCGCCCGCCCCUUCGCGUGCGCAAGCUGUUGCUGCAUUACUGUGCCUGGCUACAACUUCACUUCUUUUUGGUACAGUCAUCAAUGCAACCCCACCACACACUCACCACCCACCCCACCCACCACGCACCCGCCGCCCACAGGCCAUCAAGCUGGGCGCCUUCCCCAAGCUGUCUGUGCUGCACACCUCGGAGCACGUGCGCGGCCAGGUGUAUGUGGCGGAGAUCAACUGGACCCUGAUGCUGCUGUGCAUUGGCGUGGUGGCCGGCUUCCAGGUGGGGGAAUGUAUGAUGAGGAGUGGGCGUGCAGUUGAGGCUCUCGACCGCUUCGACUUUGUAUUCGUGCUUGACCAAAGCGAUGGCCACGCACUCACCAGAUUGGGAGUAAUAAUGGUCGGUGUAAACAACCCACACACGCCCACACCACCACCACCACCACCACCACCACCACCACCACCACCACCACCACCACCACCACCACCACCACCACCACCACCACCACCACCACCACCACCACCACCACGCUCGCAGGACACGGUAGCCCUGGGCCUGGCCUACGGUCUGGCCGUGUCGAGUGUGUUCGUGCUGACCACCCUACUCAUCCUGGUCGUGAUGGUGGCGGUGUGGGAGGUCAGCCUGGCACUGGCCGCGCCCUUCGCGCUGGUCUUCCUCAUCAUUGAGCUAGCCUUCCUGUCCGCUAACAUGGCAAAGGUACGGCAUGUGGAUGGCCACUGCGUCCGUGUUCGCACCACGUGUGUGUGUGUACGCGAGUGCGCAAGCACUGUGUGUAUGUGUGUGCGUGUGUGUUUGUGUGUGUGUGUGUGUGUGUGUGUGUGUGUGUGUGUGUGUGUGCGCGCGUAGAAACCAAUGCGGUGCGGAUGGCUGUUGGACGGUGCAACUGUUGCCAGCACAACGCAGGGUGCAUGAGCAAACGUGCACCCACGCACGCACGCAUGCAGGUGCCUGAGGGAGCCUGGUUCAGCCUGGCGGUGUCCGCGGGCGGCAUCUACGUCAUGACCAUCUGGUGGGUGGGCAGCACACGCCGUGCGCUACUGCUAGCCGCCAGCGCCGGCCGUAACCGCCUGUCCGAGCUCUUCGUGAUGAUGCCGCUACAGCCGCAGCAGUCGCACAUGGCAGCGCCGGCAGCGCAGGUGCCACAGCCGCAGCAGGUGCGGCGUGAAGCGCCGCGCGCCAUUGCCGAGUCCCUGGAGGAUGGACAGCAGGAGGCGGGGCAGGAGGAGGGACAGGAGAUGCAAGGCGCCGCCCACUCAUCCACCGGUGCCGACGCUGCUGCUCGCACUACCACCGCUGCAACGCCUCAGCCUGCUGCUGCCCCCGGCGCCUCUAGCGGCGGCGGCCUGUUGCACCCCGAGCGUGAGAUUGUCACAGCCUCCAACACCCCCUCCUCGGGCACACACGGCUCAGCUACACCCGCCGACGGUGGUGCCAUCGGCCCUCUGCCGUCGCGGCGCCGCACGGCCGCCACCUCUGCCUUUGCCGCUGCUGCUGGCAUAUCCGGUCGCAGCGAUGGAAAUGCCGCCGUACCAACUUCCAACCUGCACAAGAGCGACAGCCUCAGCAGGGGCAGCCCCGCGCAGCUGCUGGCGGCGGUGAGCGCUCGUCUGUCCAUGUGGCGGCCUGUGCAGCUGGCGCUACGCCUGCCGCCACAGCCGCUGCUGGGUGCCGAUGGAUCCGCCGCAGUGGGAAGUCAGGGUCAGGGCCUGGGACUGGGCGCGGAUGGGGCGGGUGCCGAGCAGCAACAGCAGCAGCAGCUGUGGCCUCUGUCCCGGCAGCCGGGCAUUGGUCUGUACUACAGCGAGACGCCGGUGGGGCUGCCGCACGUGCUCAUCCACUUCCUGCGGAAUGUGCAGGUGGGCAUUGCUGGUAGAUAGUGGGGUGGCGGCCUGGUGGUUCGUGCGGAAUGGGCAGUUACCGACGGGGAGGGAGCAUGCGGAAUGAGGGCAAUGCGGGCGGGGACUGCGGACGAGCGGUGCAUGGCCGUGUGUGUAUGUGUGUGUGUGUGUGUGUGUGUGUGUGUGUGUGUGUGUGUGUGUGUGUGUGUGUGUGUGUGCGUGUGUGUGUGUGUGUGCGCGCGCGCGCUCAUGUGCAACAUUCCUCUUACUUAACCGGCUGCUGUUUAACUUCCCCUUCCCGCUAUCUUUCCGUUGCCUCCCCCCCCCCGCCCCCCGGCAGUCGGUGCACGACGUCUCUGUGUUCCUGACCGUGCGGGUGGUGCCGCUGCCGCACGUGCAGCCGGUGGAGCGGCUGCUGGUCCGCCAGCUGGCGCCCUUCCCCAACUUCUACCAGGUGGGUGGUGGGGCGUGCAGCGGCGGCAGCUGGCUGGCACCCACCCAUCCAGCAGUCAUACAUGGGAAAGGGUGGAAGUAGCGUUGUGGGAAUGUAGCCGUGGUGGUGGGAAUGGAGUAAUGUUUACCGUACGGUACGUGCCAAGUGCUGCUGCGGCCAAUACUGGUACUACUGCCAUUACUACUGCUGCUACUGCCAGGUGGUGGCGCGCUACGGCUACAUGGACCGAGUCGAUCACGGCGCGGCCUUCAUCCGCCAGGUAGAUAGACGGGGCCGUGUCCGUGGGGUUGCGUUGUGUUGGAGCUUGCGCCUGCUGGGACUGGUGUUGCGUGUUGAACUCCUCACUCCCACCCGCGUCAUGCAAGUCACCCCUCGCCUGUCGGGACUCGCUCUGCCACCUGCACAGCAGCCAAUGAUUUCUGUCGCCCUGUACCUAAGUCCCUUGCACAUGCCUCGCGCCAUGCAGGUGGUGACCGGCAUUGUGCGUGUGCUGCGCGGCGGACCCGCAGUAGCCGCCGACGUCACGACUGUGGCAGCAACCGGCGGCGGCAAUGGUGCAGAUACUGCCACCGCCGCCGCAGCAGCAGCAGCUGAAGACGGGAUCGCGGGCAGUGGCAGUGGGAGCAGCGGCGGCGGUGCAGGUGGCUUCCGCUUCGUGACCCGCAACCGGCGCAGCAACGGCCACCGGGGGAGCCGGCUGUCAGCGGCAGCCAGCAGGCGCGGCGUGAACGGUGUGUCGGCGCCUGCUGGAGAGGAGCAGGAGCAGGAUGGGGGCCAGGCGGGACAGCAGCCGCAGCAGCCGCAGGGAGGGUGGUCACUCUACGGCAUGGGCCUGUCGCGGCGGGGCGGCAUGGUGCUACAGCCUGGGGAAGUUGACGUCAGCAGCAGCAGUAGCAGCGACCGAGGCUACAACUCGGCUGAGGAAGAAGGCUCCGAUCCAGACGACGAGGACGAGGUGGAGGCUGUGCCGGGCGUGCCCGCAGCCGUCGCGCACAGCAGCAAUGUCAGUGGUGGACAUGGCGGCACUGCUGGUGGCAACACGGGAGGCACUGGCGGCGUGGAGCUGAGCGAGGUGGUGGUGGUGGCGGCGCAUACCGCAGAGGUGCGGGCCGACCACGCGCCAGCACCCCAACCGCCAGCAGCGCUCCGCAGCCCCUCCACUGGCGCGCCGCCGCCGGUGUCGCUGCCUGCUGCACCGGCGGCGCUCCAGGCUUCGCGGUCGCGGCCGCGGCUGGCGCGGGCGGCGCGGGGCGUCUCUUCCCAGCUGCCCUCGGGUGGGCGGGUGGUUGUGGACGAGGCAGCGGUGGCGCACGUGUUGGAGGCCGCCCGACACGGUGAGCAAGUGCCAGCAACUUGUGGGUGUUGUGACGACCCCUCCCUUUGAUGCUGCGCCCCAGCACACUAAAUGCAAACCCACCGCCACCGCUAAACCGCCACCGCAAACAUAACCAUAAGCGCAACUGCCAAACCGCAGGCGUGGUGUACUACCUGGGCGCUGUGCGGGUGCGGCCGGAGCCCGGCAGCCCCCUUCUGGCGCAGCUGCUGUUCGGUGCCACCUACCGCCUGCUGCUGGGGCUGAGCCGCAGCGAGGUGGAGGACUGGCGGCUGCCGUACGAGCACGUGGUGGAGCUGGGCAUGGUGCUCAGGAUUGGGUAGGGGAAGAGGGGAACCCUGGAUAGGAGCAGGAGCACGGGACAGGGUGGAUGGGGGCAGGCAUGGGCGAGAAGGAGACUAGGUGAUUGUUAAGAGGAG
rnacentral:lncRNA from 1 species